GACGAACGCUGGCGGCGUGCUUAACACAUGCAAGUCGAACGGAAAGGCCCUGCUUUUGUGGGGUGCUCGAGUGGCGAACGGGUGAGUAACACGUGAGUAACCUGCCCUUGACUUUGGGAUAACUUCAGGAAACUGGGGCUAAUACCGGAUAGGAGCUCCUGCUGCAUGGUGGGGGUUGGAAAGUUUCGGCGGUUGGGGAUGGACUCGCGGCUUAUCAGCUUGUUGGUGGGGUAGUGGCUUACCAAGGCUUUGACGGGUAGCCGGCCUGAGAGGGUGACCGGCCACAUUGGGACUGAGAUACGGCCCAGACUCCUACGGGAGGCAGCAGUGGGGAAUAUUGCACAAUGGGCGGAAGCCUGUUGCAGCAACGCCGCGUGCGGGAUGACGGCCUUCGGGUUGUAAACCGCUUUCGCCUGUGACGAAGCGUGAGUGAUGGUAAUGGGUAAAGAAGCACCGGCUAACUACGUG
rnacentral:rRNA from 1 species